rnacentral:rRNA from 1 species
UACGUAGGGGGCGAGCGUUGUCCGGAAUUAUUGGGCGUAAAGAGCGUGUAGGCGGUUCGGUAAGUCUGCCGUGAAAACCUGGGGCUCAACCCCGGGCGUGCGGUGGAUACUGCCGGGCUAGAGGGUGGUAGAGGCGAGUGGAAUUCCCGGUGUAGCGGUGAAAUGCGCAGAUAUCGGGAGGAACACCAAUGGCGAAGGCAGCUCGCUGGGACGGUACUGACGCUGAGACGCGAAAGCGUGGGGAGCAAACAGG